CAGCAGCCGCGGGAAUAUAGAGGGUGCGAGCGUUAAUCGGAUUUACUGGGCGUAAAGCGUGCGUAGGCGGCUUCUUAAGUCGGAUGUGAAAUCCCUGAGCUUAACUUAGGAAUUGCAUUCGAUACUGGGAAGCUAGAGUAUGGGAGAGGAUGGUAGAAUUCCAGGUGUAGCGGUGAAAUGCGUAGAGAUCUGGAGGAAUACCGAUGGCGAAGGCAGCCAUCUGGCCUAAUACUGACGCUGAGGUACGAAAGCAUGGGGAGCAAACAGGAUUAGAUACCCGUGUAGUCCCUGUCUCUUAUAC
rnacentral:rRNA from 1 species